UUUGCGUUGCUCGCGUGCUCCAUCGCAGGCACUCCACGUCUCCCGACAUCCCGCUGUGUAAACUGUGACAUCCUGGCAGUUGAUGACCCGGGAAUCGCCUGAGGCUGGCAACAGGGCGGCCCAGAUCUGCGCGGGAGAGAGACGAUCGG
rnacentral:SRP_RNA from 11 species